AACGAACGCUGGCGGCAGGCCUAACACAUGCAAGUCGAGCGAGCGUCUUCGGGCGCUAGCGGCGGACGGGUGAGUAACGCGUGGGAACGUGCCCUUUGCUACGGAAUAGCCCUGGGAAACUGGGAGUAAUACCGUAUGUGCCCUUUGGGGGAAAGAUUUAUCGGCAAAGGAUCGGCCCGCGUUGGAUUAGGUAGUUGGUGGGGUAAUGGCCUACCAAGCCGACGAUCCAUAGCUGGUUUGAGAGGAUGAUCAGCCACACUGGGACUGAGACACGGCCCAGACUCCUACGGGAGGCAGCAGUGGGUAAUCUUAGACAAUGGGCGCAAGCCUGAUCUAGCCAUGCCGCGUGAGCGAUGAAGGCCCCUAGGGUUGUAAAGCUCUUUCGGGGGGAAGAUAAUCACGGUACCCCCGGAAGCAAGGACCCCGGCAUAACCGUCCGUGCCAGCAGCCAGCGGUCAAUACGGAGGGGCUAGCGUUGUGCGGAAUACUGGGCUGUAAAAGCGCACGGUAAGGCGGAUU
rnacentral:rRNA from 1 species